UCCGGAUUGGCGUAAUGGCAGCGCACCUGACUCUGACUCAGGGGGACGUGGUUCAAAUCCAUGAUCCGGAGCCA
rnacentral:tRNA from 1 species